AGGAUUAACGCUGGCGGCGUGCAUGAAACAUGCAAGUCGAGCGCGGUGUGAUGCGGGGUAACCCAAUUCACAUCUAGCGGCGAACGGGUGAGUAACACGUGAGCAACCUACCUUUGAGUUGGGGAUAGCCCUGGGAAACCAGGAUUAAUACCCGAUGUGGUCACAACAGGACAUCCUGAUGUGAGUAAAGGCGUAAGCCGCUCAAUGACGGGCUCGCGGCCUAUUAGCUUGUUGGUGGGGUAACGGCCUACCAAGGCGAUGAUGGGUAGCUGGUCUGAGAGGACGACCAGCCACACUGGAACUGAGACACGGUCCAGACACCUACGGGUGGCAGCAGUCGAGAAUUUUUCACAAUGGGGAAACCCUGAUGGAGCGACGCCGCGUGGAGGAUGAAGGCCCUCGGGUCGUAAACUCCUGUCAUGACGGGAAAAGAAGUGAUAGUACCGCAAGGAGGAAGAGACGGACUAACUCUGUGCCAGCACGCCGGCGGUAAUCGUGA
rnacentral:rRNA from 1 species